GGCGCGCCGUNGCCUAAUACAUGCAAGUCGAACGAACUCUGGUAUUGAUUGGUGCUUGCAUCAUGAUUUACAUUUGAGUGAGUGGCGAACUGGUGAGUAACACGUGGGAAACCUGCCCAGAAGCGGGGGAUAACACCUGGAAACAGAUGCUAAUACCGCAUAACAACUUGGACCGCAUGGUCCGAGUUUGAAAGAUGGCUUCGGCUAUCACUUUUGGAUGGUCCCGCGGCGUAUUAGCUAGAUGGUGGGGUAACGGCUCACCAUGGCAAUGAUACGUAGCCGACCUGAGAGGGUAAUCGGCCACAUUGGGACUGAGACACGGCCCAAACUCCUACGGGAGGCAGCAGUAGGGAAUCUUCCACAAUGGACGAAAGUCUGAUGGAGCAACGCCGCGUGAGUGAAGAAGGGUUUCGGCUCGUAAAACUCUGUUGUUAAAGAAGAACAUAUCUGAGAGUAACUGUUCAGGUAUUGACGGUAUUUAACCAGAAAGCCACGGCUAACUACGUGCCAGCAGCCGCGGUAAUACGUAGGUGGCAAGCGUUGUCCGGAUUUAUUGGGCGUUAAGCGAGCGCAGGCGGUUUUUUAAGUCUGAUGUGAAAGCCUUCGGCUCAACCGAAGAAGUGCAUCGGAAACUGGGAAACUUGAGUGCAGAACAGGACAGUGGAACUCAUGUGUAGCCGUGAAAUGCGUACAUAUAUGGAAGAACACCAGUGGCGAAGCGCUGUCUGGUCUGUAACUGACCUGAGCCUCGAAGAUGGGUAGCAAACACGAUUAAUACCCUGGUAGUCAUACCGUAACGAUGAUGCUAAUGUGAGGUUUCCGCCCUUCAUGCUGCAGUACNCAUUAAGCAUUCCGCUGGGGAGUACGCCGNNGGCUGAAUCUCAAAGGAAUUGACGGUGGNCU
rnacentral:rRNA from 1 species